rnacentral:rRNA from 1 species
GGCGCACGGGUGAGUAACACGUGAAUUACGUGCCCUUGAGUGGGGGAUAGCCCAGGGAAACUUGGAUUAAUACCCCAUGGUAUCGCAAGAUUAAAGGUGGCCGGCAACGGCUGUCGCUCAAGGAUUGGUUCGCGCCCUAUCAGCUUGUUGGUGAGGUAACGGCUCACCAAGGCUACGACGGGUACCUGGUUUGAGAGGACGAUCAGGCACACUGGAACUGAGACACGGUCCAG